UUUUGGACAAUGGGGGAAACCCUGAUCCAGCCAUUCCGCGUGUGCGAUGAAGGCCUUCGGGUUGUAAAGCACUUUUGGCACCCAAGAAAUCGCACAAAUUAAUACUUUGUGUGGAUGACGGUACCUGCAGAAUAAGCACCGGCUAACUACGUGCCAGCAGCCGCGGUAAUACGUAGGGUGCAAGCGUUAAUCGGAAUUACUGGGCGUAAAGCGUGCGCAGGCGGUUCGGAAAGAGAGGUGUGAAAUCCCAGGGCUUAACCUUGGAACUGCACUUUUAACUCCCGAGCUAGAGUAUGUCAGAGGGGGGUGGAAUUCCGCGUGUAGCAGUGAAAUGCGUAGAUAUGCGGAGGAACACCGAUGGCGAAGGCAGCCCCCUGGGAUAAUACUGACGCUCAUGCACGAAA
rnacentral:rRNA from 1 species